rnacentral:snoRNA from 15 species
ACAACCUUACUUGAACAGGAUCUGUUCUAUAAGCUCGUACAACUAUCUCCUUGAGGUCCAAAGAGACGGGCAUCAUAGAAGAUGGGUUACUCAAAAUGAC